rnacentral:rRNA from 1 species
AUGUGGAUGAGGAAGAAGAAGGCGGCGACGACGAGGCCGGCGGCCAGGAGGAGGGCGCCGACGUCUCUAGGGGCGCUGUGGCGGCGCGUGGUCGGGCCGGCCCGCGGCGGCAAGACCAAAAAGACCAAGACCAAGAAGAGCAAGAUCGGGUCGCUCUCGCGCGCGUUCCGGGCGUUCUCCUGCGUCCGCGGCCAUGGCAAAGGGAGGAUGGCUGCCCGCGCAGCGCGCAGGUACUGA